AUCGCAGAUGUGCAGCUCUGUGUAUUUUCUGACUCAGUUUCCUCUCAGCCAGCCAAUUUAAACACUGAACCAUUUCCUCUGCCAGCGUCACCGGAGUCCAAUGUUGCAUUACACUACAGCACUUCAUCGCUGCACUGUGGUCUGUCAGAGGAAGAAGGGCGCAUUGUCCGGGAGCUGUAGGAUUCCCAUUGCAGUUACACCUCCUGGAAGGAAACCAGGAGAAAUGCCUUGCAAGCCGAACCUCAGCACAGGAAGUCCCUGGUGGCUUUAUCCUAUUGAAGACCUGAAUGCUAUCAAUCCCUCUCAGCCACUUGCCGACACAAGAGCAGCAGAGCAGGCUAGACUUCAAAUGACCACAUCAUCUGCAGAGGCCCUAAAGGGUUAAUAGUGACUUACAGUAGUAUUCCUUGAGACAAAACAAGGCAUUUGGAUUUUUUUUUUUUUUUGCUAAAAAGUUGAGAAAAAUCUUUUGAUAAGAAACUCCACGUGAAACACAGAGAUAUCUCAUUUCCAGAGGUGUUCUGACGUGGCUGAACUGUACCUUCAGCAAAUUAUUUACCUCUUAAUUUGUUAAAACAUAUGGGCUUAGAGGUAACUUUGCCCAUGAGGCGUACAUCUAUAUUAUAUGCUUGUUUGGUUUGACUUCAUUUUCCUUGGAGACCUGAACAAAUGGUUUCCGCAUUUCAGAAGUUGUUUUUUUUUUUCCUCCUCUCACGUGUUCACAGCAGCAGCGUUACAUAUGUAUUUUGUUUCUUUUGCCUGCAAUGAAAGAGGAGCGUGCUCAUUUGCAGUACAGUGGGCAAAGUGGGGCAAUGUUUCAGGAUGAGGAAAGUCACAUAUCUCUACAUCUGCGAGGAGCACAGUCAGAAUGGAUGUUUGGCCCCUUUGCCAAUCUCUACCAACAGCCACUUCCCCACAGAGCACCCAGCGUGUCCCUGCUCACCAUCUUGUUCCCCAGCACAAGAAAAGAGAGGAACCAACAAACUCCACACAAAGUCCUUGUUGAUAUUUCAGUGCUUCAUCACAAAAAUCUCUUGCCAAACACUUGGAAGAGUAUUUGCCCCCCCCCCUCCCCCCCCCAGCCAAGUUAAAAUGCAAGCCCACUUGCAAAGCAUUAGUGUGAGGUAAUCGAAAUAGCACCUUCCACAAAGACCAAAAGAAAGUGGAGGAGAUCUUCUGUAUCAACACCCAUCAUUCCUAAGAAAGUCAUGGACUUCCUGCUGCAUGGCUCCACCAGCACACCAGCAUCAACUGCAUGUUUAGUUUUUGCAUCUCUCAGGCCUGUCCUUGCUAUCAAGGCUCUGGUAGCACAUGUAUUCCCAUGAUCCUGUCUCGUGGACAACGUCUCCAUGCGCAAAGCUCCAAGGUGGCAUUCACACAACUUCGCCUCAUUCUCUUAACUUCUUUUGCUACAAUACAGAGAAAUGGGAACAAAACAUUAUUUCUUUAAAAUAGCAGCAUGAUAAUUGAUGCUCUCAAGAGGGGAAAAAGGAAGAAACCCACCAGGGACAGAGUUCAACUAAACAAAAAAGUGAAUCAAACAAAACCCAUAGAUGAACGAGAUGCUACUUCACUUUGGGAUCACUUUUCUUCACUGCAAGACAAGGGUAGCAGAAAUAAAACCCAGCUGAAAGAAAGCUUCUCACCAGCGUGUGCUGACCAUGGGAUGGGUCUUAAAACUACUCCCAUGUGCAUAAGUCUGAAGAAAUCCUUAAGCUUGACUGUGGUGAGCAUAGCAAUGGAAGCAGCUGCCAUGCUCUGCAGCCACUCAAGUUACUAUCAGACAGGAAACUUCAGAGCUUUGCCACUGAGCAUUACUGCUACAUUUCUCUCUUAGCUUAGGCUGGGUGGUUAAUUCAUUUUUUUUUUGCUCUUGCUCUCUGCUCAGGGAAAGAGAUUAUCUCUUUGUUUAGGUGCUUCUGGAUAGUAGGCACCUCUGCUUUUCAGCAGCACUCCAGAAGGGAAAUGCCUUUUCAAUACAGGCUGCUAAUGCGUUCACAGGCUGAAAUCAAGCUCCCUACCUACGGCAGGCUCCCCAAUUCCCAGGACAAUCAAGCCGACACAAUUAAAUUCUUCCUCUUCUGUGACAGAACUAUACGCAGUGGUUAGUAUUACAUUACAUUGAAAAUAAUUAAUAUUGUGGAGGCUUUUUUGCAUGUUUGUGUGUUAAAGACUUGACCUUUUAAUUUGUUUUUCCCUCAGAAAUGUUCUGCAAUCUAAUGAUUUAUAUAGAUUGUCCAAAGUUGCCAGGUAGUCUGUCCCAGCUCUCUAGAAUAACUCUGAUGAUAUUUACCCACACUCAGUGUCAGGGAACUGCUUUUGCUUGCUGUGCUAGGGAAAGCAUUCACAGGGGCCUACAUCUGCCAGGUCUGGUACAAAAGGACAGUGGAAUCAGCACACCCAUUCAAUCAGCCUGAUAAGUCACUAACUGAUAAGCAAUUGCUAGAUAAAUUAUCAGCUACUUAUACA
ensembl:lncRNA